rnacentral:piRNA from 1 species
UAGCAUCACUUGGUGUACUGAGG